CGCAUGGCGCUCUCGGCUCUCUUUCCAAUGCAUAUCGAGCGGGGGAGAUUGCUUCGGUAAUUGACCUAGCGGCGGACGGGUGAGUAAUACUUAGGAAUCUGCCUAUUAAUGGGGGACAACAUCUCGAAAGGGAUGCUAAUACCGCAUACGCCCUACGGGGGAAAGCAGGGGAUCACUUGUGACCUUGCGUUAAUAGAUGAGCCUAAGUCGGAUUAGCUAGUUGGUGGGGUAAAGGCCUACCAAGGCGACGAUCUGUAGCGGGUCUGAGAGGAUGAUCCGCCACACUGGGACUGAGACACGGCCCAGACUCCUACGGGAGGCAGCAGUGGGGAAUAUUGGACAAUGGGGGGAACCCUGAUCCAGCCAUGCCGCGUGUGUGAAGAAGGCCUUAUGGUUGUAAAGCACUUUAAGCGAGGAGGAGGCUCUCUUGGUUAAUACCCAAGAUGAGUGGACGUUACUCGCAAAAUAAGCACCGGCUAACUCUGUGCCAGCAGCCGCGGUAAUACAGAGGGUGCGAGCGUUAAUCGGAUUUACUUGGGCGUAAAGCGUGCGUAGGCGGCUGUUAAAGUCGGAUGUGAAAUCCCCGAGCUUACCUGGGGAAUGGCAUUCGAUACUGGGAAGCUAGAGGUAUGGGGAGAGGAUGGUAGAAUUCCAGGUGUAGCGGUGAAAUGGCGUAAAGAUCUGGAGGAAAUACCCAUUG
rnacentral:rRNA from 1 species